rnacentral:rRNA from 1 species
UACGUAGGCGGAAAAUUAAGUCAGUAGUGAAAUCCUGCAGCUUAACUGUAGAACUGUUAUUGAUACUGGUUUUCUUGAAUAUAGUUGAGGUAGGCGGAAUGUGUAAUGUAGCGGUGAAAUGCUUAGAUAUUACACAGAACACCGAUUGCGAAGGCAGCUUACUAAACUAUGAUUGACGCUGAGGUACGAAAGCGUGGGGAGCGAACAGGAUUAGAUACCCUGGUAGUCC